AAGAGUGCUUUGCAUUAAUGGGAACCAUCAAUGACAUACUUUUAAAAAAACACCAAAACAAUAAUCCCUUUGGAUCUGCAAGAACCAGGAUCUAGUCCCUACUUUAUUACUGACCAUCUCCUCUGGAUUUCAGUGUCCUAGCCCGUAAAGUCUGACUUGAAGCCAUUCAACUUUUAGAGAGAUCCUUUAAGUUCAUUCAAGAUACUAGCUUCAGAGAUCAGAAUCUUGUUCAGAACUGCGCUUCUUGUCCUCUGAGAAUCAUAAAUAUAUGAAUAAGUUCCAGCAAUGUACUGAACAGGAAGGUACUAUAGUUCAAGUACUUUGGAAUACACAGAGUAACUGAAUCUCAGCCGACCGACUGAACGUUAUCUACCAAAGGGACUUAGCAAACUGGUUAACAAAUGGCCUGUCAUUAGGUAAUACAGAUUACUUAUAAACAAAUGUAUUUCCGAGAUCCUUAAGAAUACAGUACCCAAAAAUGU